UAGGGAAGUCUUCCACAAUGGACGAAAGUCUGAUGGAGCAACGCCGCGUGAGUGAAGAAGGGUUUCGGCUCGUAAAGCUCUGUUGGUAGUGAAGAAAGAUAGAGGUAGUAACUGGCCUUUAUUUGACGGUAAUUACUUAGAAAGUCACGGCUAACUACGUGCC
rnacentral:rRNA from 1 species